UACGAAGGGGGCUAGCGUUGUUCGGAAUUACUGGGCGUAAAGCGCACGUAGGCGGACAUUUAAGUCAGGGGUGAAAUCCCAGAGCUCAACUCUGGAACUGCCUUUGAUACUGGGUGUCUCGAGUAUGGAAGAGGUGAGUGGAAUUCCGAGUGUAGAGGUGAAAUUCGUAGAUAUUCGGAGGAACACCAGUGGCGAAGGCGGCUCACUGGUCCAUUACUGACGCUGAGGUGCGAAAGCGUGGGGAGCAAACAGG
rnacentral:rRNA from 1 species